GCAUCAAUUUGUACAGUCUCCAGUUGGCACCCCUGGUUUUUUUCCUCCCCCUGCAACGAAUAGAAGGAGAUUUUCUUCUUGUGCAUUUAUUGUUAUGAUCGGAGCUCGAUGCAACAUGAGCCAGCACGAGCCCGUGUUGACAGACGCCUGGGCUGUGAGGCGUGCGUGUCAGCGUGCACCAUAAAAAACCCCGACCAAACAGAGGGAGAGAAAGGAAAAGGGAGAGUGAGAGUGGGAGCACGCAUCGCUGGAUAUCAUAGGUUUUGGUAGCUCUCAUGGUGUAACACUCAGUCAGUAAGCAACAGGAACGAAUUCAGUCCCCGCAAUGGCUUGUGUUGUAAAAUGGACGUUAUAAAGAAGAAACAAUGAAAACAAGGACACACAAAGAAUCGAUGCCCAUGCGCAGUGGGCGGCGGCGGGGGGCGAGUGAGGAGAGAAGGGGUAGACGCCCGCACUCCAGCCCCACUCGCCCUGAACGCAACGAUAGACAGACGGUUAGAGCUCUACCUCUUUUGUCUCUUUACUACCCUGUCAUUUUCACCAUAGGUUUCUGUGUGUGCAUGCAAGUAGCAUAGUUAAUACCAAUAAAGA